rnacentral:rRNA from 1 species
AUUGAACGCUGGCGGCAGGCCUAACACAUGCAAGUCGAGCGGAUGACGGGAGCUUGCUCCUUGAUUCAGCGGCGGACGGGUGCGUAAUGCCUAGGAAUCUGCCUGGUAGUGGGGGACAACGUUUCGACAGGAACGCUAAUACCGCAUACGUCCUACGGGCGAAAGCAGGGGACCUUCGGGCCUUGCGCUAUCAGAUGAGCCUAAGUCGGAUUAGCUAGUAGGUGAGGUAAUGGCUCACCUAGGCGACGACCCGUAACUGGUCUGAGAGGAUGAUCAGGCACACUGGAACUGAGACACGGUCCAGACUCCUACGGGAGGCAGCAGUGGGGAAUAUUGGACAAUGGGCGAAAGCCUGAUCCAGCCAUGCCGCGUGUGUGAAGAAGGUCUUCGGAUUGUAAAGCACUUUAAGUUGGGAGGAAGGGCAGUAAGUUAAUACCUUGCUGUUUUGACGUUACCGACAGAAUAAGCACCGGCUAACUCUGUGCCAGCCGCCGCAGUAAGAC